rnacentral:rRNA from 1 species
GUACACGCUGUGACUAGCAUAUCAAUAAGCGGAGGAAAAGAAACUAACAAGGAUUCCCUCAGUAACGGCGAGUGAAGCGGGAAGAGCUCAAAUUUGAAAUCUUCAAGGUUUUACCUUGACGAAUUGUAGUUUAAAGAAGUGUUUUCUGCUGAAGUUUUGGUAAAAGUUCUUUGGAAUAGGACAUCAUAGAGGGUGAGAAUCCCGUAUUUGACCAUUAUUUUCAGCUUUGUGAUACACUUUCAAAGAGUCGGAUUGUUUGGGAAUGCAGUCCAAAAUGGGUGGUAAAUUUCAUCUAAAGCUAAAUAUUGGCGAGAGACCGAUAGCGAACAAGUACCGUGAGGGAAAGAUGAAAAGAACUUUGAAAAGAGAGUUAAACAGUACGUGAAAUUGUCAAAAGGGAAGCGUUUGACACCAGUGUUGUUUUCUGAAAAUCAACCUCUGUUAGCUUUAUGCAUGUUUGUUUAGACCUAAUCAGCUAUCUUUCAUGUUCUAUUGUUUGCAGUGGUGCACUUUUCAGUUUACAGGUCAACAUCAGUUUUUUUUACCGUAAAAAAGUUAAAGAAAGGUAGCUCAUGGCUCCGGUCGUGAGUGUUAUAGUCUUUUUCCUAUGCGGUAGGAGAGACUGAGGUCUGCAGUGUAGGCUAUUUGGCUAGAUACUCAGGUGCUAUGUGAUACCAUUUCAUAAACAACUUGUUGAUUAUGUUUUGUCUAUUGCAUACUCGCUUGUACUAUCAUACCUACGCUUAGGAUGUUGAGUAGCGACAUACGCAC